CUACUUGGACCGAAAUCCAAACUGAAACAUACCAAAUAGUGAUAAUUUAGUUUCAGGAGAACCGAACCCAAAACUGACGUAGAUACACACUAAGCCCUAAAAAAUUGCCACUAAAUUACCACCACUUGAUUAACUUUUCUUUUUUUUUUUGGGCAAACUAGGGAUUAACUUUUCUCUAGCAUCUGAUAUUUCACUCAUAUUGAAAAAUAUAUGUUAUUUAAUAAGUACAACUCUGCUAUUCCUCAAAUCAAACAGAAACUAGAAGUCGUAAACAAUAUUUCCCAAGUCAUAAAUGAUGAAAAAGAGAAACGAACAAAAAUAUGACAAUUUCUUACAAUUCUAGCUUAGGUCAAUUAAUAUUAAGGUAUAUUGUCGAUUGUAUUAGGGAUAAUAAAAAAAAAGACUCAAAGUUUUGUUUUUCUUAAACAUACUAUUAUUAAAUGUUGAAUAAGUCAACAACAACUAAC
rnacentral:lncRNA from 1 species